rnacentral:rRNA from 1 species
CGGCAGGCCUAACACAUGCAAGUCGAACGGUAACAGGAAGAAGCUUGCUCUUGCUGACGAGUGGCGGACGGGUGAGUAAUGUCUGGGAAACUGCCUGAUGAGGGGGGAUAACUACUGGAAACGGUAGCUAAUACCGCAUAACGUCGCAAGACCAAAGAGGGGGACCUUCGGGCCUCUUGCCAUCGGAUGUGCCCAGAUGGGAUUAGCUAGUAGGUGGGGUAACGGCUCACCUAGGCGACGAUCCCUAGCUGGUCUGAGAGGAUGACCAGCCACACUGGAACUGAGACACGGUCCAGACUCCUACGGGAGGCAGCAGUGGGGAAUAUUGCACAAUGGGCGCAAGCCUGAUGCAGCCAUGCCGCGUGUAUGAAGAAGGCCUUCGGGUUGUAAAGUACUUUCAGCGGGGAGGAAGGGAGUAAAGUUAAUACCUUUGCUCAUUGACGUUACCCGCAGAAGAAGCACCGGCUAACUCCGUGCCAGCCGCUGC